CAUUUGACGUUAGCCAACAGAAAGAGCACCUGUGCUAACUCCGUGCCCAGCAGCCGCGAGUAUACGGGAGGGUGCCGAGCGGUUAUCGGAAUUACCUGCGCGUAAGGCCGCAUGCAGGUGGUUUGUUCAAGUCAGAUGUGAAAGGCUCGGGGCUCACCUCGGAACUGCAUUUGAAACUGGCAGACUAGAGUACUGUAGAGGGGGGUAGAAUUUCAGGUGUAGCGGUGAAAUGCGUAGAGAUCUGAAGGAAUACCGGUGGCGAAGGCGGCCCCCUGGACAGAUACUGACACUCAGAUGCGAAAGCGUGGGGAGCAAACAGGAUUAGAUACCCUGGUAGUCCACGCUGUAAACGAUGUCUACUUGGAGGUUGUGGCCUUGAGCCGUGGCUUUCGGAGCUAACGCGUUAAGUAGACCGCCUGGGGAGUACGGUCGCAAGAUUAAAACUCAAAUGAAUUGACGGGGGCCCGCACAAGCGGUGGAGCAUGUGGUUUAAUUCGAUGCAACGCGAAGAACCUUACCUACUCUUGACAUCCAGAGAAGCCAGCGGAGACGCAGGUGUGCCUUCGGGAACUCUGAGACAGGUGCUGCAUGGCUGUCGUCAGCUCGUGUUGUGAAAUGUUGGGUUAAGUCCCGCAACGAGCGCAACCCUUAUCCUUGUUUGCCAGCGAGUAAUGUCGGGAACUCCAGGGAGACUGCCGGUGAUAAAUUUGAGGAAGCUGGGGACGACGUCAAGUCAUCAUGGCCCUUACGAGUAGGGCUACACACGUGCUACAAUGGCGCAUACAGAGGGCGGCCAACUUGCGAAAGUGAGCGAAUCCCAAAAAGUGCGUCGUAGUCCGGAUUGGAGUCUGCAACUCGACUCCAUGAAGUCGGAAUCGCUUGUAAUCGUGGAUCAGAAUACCACGGUGAAUACGUUCCCGGGCCUUGUACACACCGCCCGUCACACCAUGGGAGUGGGCUGCAAAAGAAGUGGUUAGUUUAUUCUUCGGCUCGGACGCUC
rnacentral:rRNA from 1 species